UUUCUGCAAGUGUAGUAAUUGGCUUUCAUGAGCCAAUAGGAGCUGGCCCCAGCAUACCAUCAGCUCCCCUGGUAAUACCAUCGCACUACGACCCGGUGAAGAGCCGUGAUACGGCAUUGUCUAUGCCAAACUCUCAUUCGAGUGGACCCAAAAACUGGUGGUGACAUGCUAAACAAAAUUAUCUCCGCAGUUUCCUGCUAUUGAUUUUUUGGAGAACAAGCAAAGCAAUGUUGGUCAGAUAAGGUAUAUACACCCUGAAAUAGUACUCUGAAGGAGAAGAGGAAAGAAAUGUAACAUAAAUUCAAAAUAUACCAUAUGACAAAUGUUUUUUAAGUGCUAUCUCUUU